AUUGAACGCUGGCGGCAUGCCUUACACAUGCAAGUCGAACGGUAACAGGUCUUCGGAUGCUGACGAGUGGCGAACGGGUGAGUAAUACAUCGGAACGUGCCUAGUAGUGGGGGAUAACUACUCGAAAGAGUGGCUAAUACCGCAUGAGAUCUACGGAUGAAAGCAGGGGAUCGCAAGACCUUGUGCUACUAGAGCGGCCGAUGGCAGAUUAGGUAGUUGGUGGGAUAAAAGCUUACCAAGCCGACGAUCUGUAGCUGGUCUGAGAGGACGAUCAGCCACACUGGGACUGAGACACGGCCCAGACUCCUACGGGAGGCAGCAGUGGGGAAUUUUGGACAAUGGGCGCAAGCCUGAUCCAGCAAUGCCGCGUGCAGGAAGAAGGCCUUCGGGUUGUAAACUGCUUUUGUACGGAACGAAAAGGCUCUGGUUAAUACCUGGGGCUCAUGACGGUACCGUAAGAAUAAGCACCGGCUAACUACGUGCCAGCAGCCGCCGUAACAC
rnacentral:rRNA from 1 species